rnacentral:misc_RNA from 1 species
AAGUCGUAACAAGGUUUCCGUAGGUGAACCUGCGGAAGGAUCAUUAUUGAUUUUAGUUAUUUGUGAAUGUACCACGAACAAACAAAAAAUAUUAUAGUCAAAAAAAAAAUUAAAUCAAAACUUUUAACAAUGGAUCUCUUGGUUCUC